CAAUAGCGUAUAUUAAAGUUGUUGCAGUUAAAAAGCUCGUAGUUGGAUUUCUGGUCGGAAGCUCCUGUCCUCUGUUGAGCGUACAAGUGCGUCCUACCAUCCUUCUGUUAACCUUUAAGGCUUUCGCGGCUUUCUAGGGGCUCAGAUAUUUUACCUUGAGAAAAUUAGAGUGUUUCAGGCAGGCUAGCGCCGGAAUACAUUAGCAUGGAAUAAUGGAAUAGGACUUUUGCCUCUUCUGUUGGUCAUGAGGCUCGAGUAAUGAUUAAUAGGGAUAGUUGGGGGCAUUAGUACUUAACUGUCAGAGGUGAAAUUCUCGGAUUUGUUAAAGACUAACUUAUGCGAAAGCAUUUGCCAAGGAUGUUUUCAUUAA
rnacentral:rRNA from 1 species